rnacentral:piRNA from 1 species
UCCUCAUGAAUUCCUUGAUGCCUUCGUCC